CACUGCAUUACUGUUUUCAUUUUCCCUCUUUCACUCUCCCCCCAAAUUUUUUUUCCCCCAAAUUUUUUUCCCUCCACUUUCUCCCACCACCACUGUUCAGCUCCGGCCACCACGAAGCAGUGCCGACGCCCACCCAACGCCCACCAUCUGCGUAUACUCAAAGUUCCUUCGCCAAUUUCACAUAAUAUUCAGCAUAGUGAUGUUUUUGAAACUCAGGAUAGUACAACUACAAAGGAUAUAUGGCCACGUGAGCUAUUAAAAGGGUAGAUGGAACAAGUGGAAUAGAAGGAAUGAAAGUUACAAUAUAUUUUGUUGUUUUGAAAUUUUUUUGUGUUGUAUAGACAAGUGAAUAUGUAGCUUGUCCCUUUUUGUUGUUGCAAUAGUAGAUUUUCAAGGUGUUGCAACUACUUGA